rnacentral:tRNA from 1 species
GGAACUGUGCCUGAAGUAAAGGAUCACUUUGAUAGAGUGCAUAAUGGAGGUUCAACUCCUCCCAGAUCCU